UGACCGAUAUGGUGGCAACACCAAGUUGUACGUGGGCCAUCUUUCUACGCACACCCGGACCAAGGAUGUUGAGUACCUUUUCGGCAGAUAUGGGAGGUGAGGAAAUUGGAUCUGGUUUACGCCUUUUGUGCACCACUUGAUUUAACAAGUGUUUGCGUGCAAUUUGGGAACCAUUUACUUGCUGCACCUGGCUUGCUCUAAUUUGUGCAUACUUCUUAGGCAAAGGCAUAUUUCCCUAGAUCAUGGGUCAAUUUAGAACUCCGCCUAUGUUGUCCCAACAACAUACCCGAGCCAAUGUCAAAACUCAGCCACUCUUAUGGAGGUGAAACCCAAAAGAGUUGCGAGAUCUUAUGGGUUUCACCUCUAGCCUACCCCAGCUUGUUUGGGACUAAGGCUUUGUUGCUGUGUUGUUGUUGUAUGGGUCAAUUUAGGUUCCUCGGCAUUGAUGUAGCCUAGAGUCAAGACUACUACUGCAUCACUGAUAAUGUAAUUUUAAUCCAGCUAUAUCAAUAGGCUCUGCUAGGUUACUUUCGGUAGAGGUGUCAUUUUAGCUAUUAACUUGUAAUUGUUUAGCUGUUUAUUGGCUUACCUGUUAGUAGAGACUAGCAACUAGCAAGCUUCGGAAGUUUAAGGUUCCUUCUGUUGCGGCAUAAUCUGUUGAUUUUGACCAUUUACAUAGUGCUACUGGUUGUUGCCAAUUUGCCAUCACAUGUCAGACAAACCUUUCCAGCUUUGACUUGAAUAAUCUUGAUGAAGGUAUUGAGGGGCUAUUACCUUGGUGUCAAUGCUGUGAGGGUGCCUUUGGUGGAAAUUGGUGUCUUGCUGCAAAGUUACAGAAGAUUUUGGCGAUUCUUUUGAAAUAUUCUGUUGCCUAUUCUACGAGUAGAUGUUUACUUUGUGUGAUGGCUGGUGAUGCACUUUUCAUACCAUCUUGAUGGUGUUCCUGUUUUUGUCAACCAUUUCUACAGAAUACGAUGUGUGGAGCUGAAGUAUGAUUAUGGCUUCGUUGUAAGUAACCUCUUACACCCGUGAUUUCCAUGUUCUAUUCCCGGAAUAUGUGCAGCUAAUUGUCUACUUUGUUAGAUUUUUCAUGUUAAGCCCACCCCUAUUUUUGUUUUUCUGGAUCAUGUUGCAGGAGUUUAGCGAUCCCCGGGAUGCAGAUGAUGCAAGGUAUGAGCUUGAUGGCCAAGAGAUUGAUGGGAGCCGUAUCAUUGUUGAGUUUGCAAGAGGGGUAAGCUUUUGUUGUUUAUGAAUGUUCUUUGCUACUGUAAACUUCACCCUGAUGCCAUCUACAAAUGAGCCUUCGAUGGACUGAAAAUUCUCCUCUAUGCGCAAAGUUUAAUCCUUUUAUUACUAGAAAUUGUGCCCGCGCGUUGCAACGGGAGAAACAAAUGCUUGCACGCCCCUAGCGGCCCAUCCAUGUUGUCACUUCUAAUCUUCACUACCGUCACCUAUGGUGGCCAAGUUAUCAACCUAUUCAACGAUGGUGCGCGGCCCCAGUCUCAUUUAAACUUGAUGCAUGCAUCGUCCGGAGCAAACACCGAUUAUCGUGGAGCAGAUCACAAUGUAGUUAAACGGCUCAACAGAUAAUUAAGUAAUACAUAUAAGAUCAAUGAAACUUUUAAUUAAAGAAGGAAGUCAAGGCCCUUAUGGAAGGAGACUGGAUGAUGAACCUUGUUAAGAUUCGUGGCAGUAAAAAAUGUGCUACCCACGGUAAGACUGCAGUAGGUAGGCUGUGAAUUUUCGAAUGUUCCUUUGAAAAUUAGGAAAGUUAUACAAAAUGCUUGUCAUAAUGUGACCAGUUAAUGAUAUUCCAAAUUCCACGCAAAACACGGAACCUUUGCGAGCGCAAAUAAGAUCUCGACACAAGUUAUGAGAUUGACAGAGCGAGCAAGAUGGGGUUCAUGGCGGCAGAUAAGCCGUACUUAGCCAUCCAUGAUCCUGACCUCUAUCUCAAUGGUGUCAGCGCGAAUGGGCGGAACCCCGACCGUAGUUGAAACAGGUGCCCGUCUCUAGCUCCCGCACCAGGGUUUCCUUGACGUCCAACAUGAUGGAGCUGGACCUGAUGCACCCCAAUAUUUUGUCAGAAACAACUAAGUCUGUAGGUAUUAUAUGUGUGGUUUUUUUGCGGGAAAUUAUAUAUGUUUUAUAAUAUGCAAAAAAAAACCGCAUCAUGCCAUGAGUUGGUCGCUAUGGACGGGUGCGUGGAAGCUUGCUAUCCAUGUGCCAGAGCCAUGAGGUGGUCGCGAGAUCUUAUGGGUUUCACCUCUAGCCUACCCCAACUUGUUUGGGACUAAAGGCUUUGUUGUUGUUGUUGUUGUUGCCUCUCUCCCACAAAUUAAUCAAGGGGUUAUAUUCAUGCAUGUUCAAUGGAUCGCUCUCCAUCUCCUAUUAAUUAAUUUUAAUUGGCCAAGCGACCUCCCCCUCUCCGGUUAAUUAAUUCUAGUUGGCCAACAGUAGCGGCGUGGCAUUGUGCAUCAGCUGUUUUAAUCGGAUCAUUUUCACCCACUAAUUCCUCCAUGAAUCUUGGGUCUCUCCAUUAAUUCCGGAUGCACCGGCCCGCUCUUUAUUAAUCUCGAGGCACUUAUUGAUUUCAGAUCGCAGACAUUUAUAAAUUGGUGACAUUGUGUGCAAAGGAGCGAUGUGGUACUAUAUAAUAAAUGCAAAACCUCUUUUGUUUUCACAAAUAUGAGUUAGGUCAGUUGGAUCGACGCAAGGAAACUUGAUGGCAGGUAGUGAGUUGGAUCUCUUGUAUCUGCAACUUUUUUGCCGGAUUUGCUGACCGCCCAAGCGGGUGGGCCCAUGUGCGUGAGAAAAAAAAAGGCCGAACCGUUUUUUGUCGACUUAUUACUAAUGGACUGCGGGUUGAUACUUAGAAACAUCAGGGAUUUUUCUGCAAAAUACACAUGACGGACCAAGAAUAUAUAUUCCCUUUAUUAGUAAUAAAAAAUAGGUCUAGGUAUAGAUAUGCAUUUUUGCAGCUACAUGACUCCGAUUUUCUAAUUGCGGAGGAUAAUGAUGUUUGAUUACUUGUUGUACUGUUGCUGUAUUCUUAAUGUUGCUGUCCUCGACUUCAGUUGAUAAGUCUGUGUUGCUUUUCUAGAUCCCGCGUGGCCCAGGAGGUUCCCGCGAGUACUUGGGCAGAGGACCCCCUCCUGGUUCUGGCCGCUGCUUUAACUGUGGGAUUGAUGGGCACUGGGCUCGUGACUGCAAUGCUGGCGACUGGAAAAAUAAGUGCUAUCGCUGUGGAGAAAAGGGCCAUAUAGAAAAAAACUGCCAAAACAGUCCUAAGAAUCUCAAGUAUUUCCUUGCACCCUUUAAUGAGCUUCCUUGUGAUGUUACCUUUUGUUAGUGCACAUUUGAUUUUUAGCUUUUGCAAAUACAGGCGGGGAAGAAGCUACUCACGCUCCCCACCACCUCAUCGCGAAAGGAGCCUAAGCAGGAGUUACAGGUAUGAACCAAUUUUUUUGCCAUUAUGACUGAUGUUUGUGCAAUCUCCAGUGCUUAACUAUAUGUGGUUAUGCCAAGGACUAAUAUGUCUGGGUAUACUAGUAUAUCUUGUUAGCAUUAUGAUUGGAUCUUGUAAAUAAAUAAACAUACUAUUAUGAGAGUUACCCUACUAUAGAUUUGGUCAAAUGCAAUGGGUUUACCUUUCAGCCAUGUAGUAGUAAUCUCUUACCUUUGAUAGUCAUAUAUAUAUCUAUUCAUGCCUGCCACUGCUAUAUGUUGAUAUGUGAUCAGUGAGUCUGUAGAGAGCAGGUAUCUGGUGAUAAGUUUGUGCCAUAUUUUGAUGGAUGCUGAAGAUAUGUAUGGAAAUUAAAUGAAUAUUGUUGAGUCUGUAGAGAGCGGGUAUCUGGUGAUAAGUGGGUGCCAUAAUUUGAUGGAUGCUACUGAUAUGUGAGUGGCAUAAUUUGAUGGAUGCUACUGAUAUGUAUGGAAAUUAUGUGAAUAUUGUGGUGGCAUAGUUCAAAGAGGCACUCUCGGCAACUUUGUAUAACAUGAGCCUGGUGUUUUACAUUCUUCUCUGCUGAGUUGCUUUCCUAGCAGUAUCAUUAAUCAUCAAUGUUGUGAUUUUCUUAUUAACAGCCGAUCGCCUUAUCCAAGGAGGGAUGAUCGUGCUGUUGGCCACGAGGAAAGGCGACCAAGAAGCUCUAGUUACAGCCCUAGGAGGAGUGCUUCACCUUCCGGUUUGAACCGCAGCCCAGCACCAAAUGGCAAGAGCCACCCACCAAGGGAGCAAGCUGAAGUCAAUGGUUCACAUAACGGUGUGAGAGGCAACAGCCUGAGUCCUGCCCGCGAUAGCCGCCCCUGGGAGUGAUGGUGAACGCUGCACACCACCCUCAACUUGAAUUAAUCCUGUUGCAUCGUCUCUUGGGCCGAACUCUUAUGUUUGUAGACUAUGUUAGUAUGUUUGUCGAACGUCGGUUCGCGUUAUGCCUCCUCGUCUAAACCUGUCAAACCUGUCUGAGUCAUGAAUUUUUCAUGUUUGACAAAUGUUGACAUGUGUUAUGCCGCCUUGUCUGAAUCUGAAAAAGUUUUUUGCGGUUGCAACAAUGUUAUGUAGACUUGGCUAGCAUGAUCAGUGUUUCCCAGACGUCACUAGCUAAAUAAUUGUUGCCCCUUAAUCGUAAACUACUGUUCUACUCCCUCCGUAGGGAAAUGUAAGAGCGUUUACAUCACUACUUUAGGCCCUGUUUGGGAAUACUAGCGUUUACAUCACUACUUUAGGCCCUGUUUGGGAAUACUCUGCUCCGGGAGCAGCCGGGAGCGGACGGAGCUCUAGUACAAAAUCUAGGAGCGAGCAAACCGCCGCUCCGCAAAUCUGCGGAGCUGGUGAAUUCCUGAACGCGGGCUUGGUGAUCUAUAAACACUCUUAUAUUUCUCUAAGAGGGAGUACCUUUUAGGCAUCGUGAAAAAAAAUGAAUCAGGAUCAGCAAGCUGCUUAUGGUCUGCAAAGUGUUCCUGUACAAAUUUUCUGUCAAUUUUGUAAGGAAUUGUUUUUGGCUGAAUAUUUAAGUUCAUGUGUUCCAAAUAGGUAGUUAACACUUCUUGAAUAUGCUGACAAACAUCUAACAGAUCAUCCUUUAUAUAAUUCAAAGAACAAAACAUAUAUCAGAACAUGAAUGCAAUUAAGGGCUUGUCAGCAACAACAGUACAUGGUAUGGACGAGCAACAGACAUCUCUUUUCUCCAGGUCAACAUGUUUUUACCAACUUCCUUAGUGACACAGAAACAAUGCAGUCCAGUUCACCUCCCUUCAGUGUUCAUCAGCUGCGAGAAGGCAUCGUUGGUCGACAUCUGAGAGUAAUCCAUGUGCGUGCGGCCUUCGUCUGCUUCGUCUGCGGUACCGAUCUCCAAAGAGCCCAUCCUUCUGGCGUCUGAAGGAAGUUCAGAGAUCUGAUUCAUGCUGUCGACAUUGGAGAUGUCCGGGCCGGCCUCCUGCAGCUGGAGCACAAACUCCAGAUUCCACAGGACAUCACCCAUUGUAGGGCGGUCAACGCCGUAAUCCACAAGACACUUCUCGACCGUCUCACCGUACUUCCUCAAUGACUCUGGCCUGAUUGUCCCAGCGAUCCGUUGAUCGACGAUCUGACCAAGCUCUCCCCUCUUCUGCCACUUGAUUGCCCAUUCUGCAAGGUUGAUCAUGUCUCUUGGAAGCGUCGGAUCGAUGACUGGCCUCGCACAGAUCACCUCCAGCAAGACCACGCCGAAUGAGUACACAUCCGACUUGUCGGUCAGCUUCUGCCUCCGGUAGUACUCAGGGUCAAGAUACCCGAAGCUCCCUUUCACCGCAGUGCUAACAUGUGUUUGAUCCAACUCAGGUCCCGUCUUCGAGAGACCGAAAUCAGAAACCUUGGCCAUGAGAUUUUCGUCGAGGAGAAUGUUUGCCGACUUGACAUCACGAUGGAUGAUCGACUUUGCAAAACCUGUGUGCAGGUAGUGGAGCCCCCUUGCAGCCCCUAUGCAGAUUUCCACUCUUUUCUUCCAGCUGAGGGGAGGCAUGUCACUGCCAUACAGGUGACUCUUCAGCGUGCCUUUCUCCAUGUACUCAUACACCAAGAUCAUCUCGUUCUGGUCAUCGCAAUAUCCGAUGAGCGACACGAGGUGACGGUGUCGCAGCCCCGACAGCAGCUCGAUCUCUGUCCGGAAUUCUUUGAGCCCUUGGUGGGACUUCUGGUUGCCCCGCUUGACUGCGACUUUGGUGCUGUCCUGCAGAACUGCUUUGUAUACCUUCCCAAACCCCCCAACUCCGACAACCAUCUGCUCGUCGAAGUGUUUUGUUGCCACUUGCAGCAAAGCAAAAGGAAUUCGGUAGCUUACAUCACUGUUUGUCCCAGAUGUAUGAGUGGUCCGGCUGGUUGUUCGGGUACCUAUGCUAAGGAAGCUAAGGCCAUUGAGGGUAAGUGGUGACCAAGAACUUGAAGGUCGACUUGUCGGUGCCCGCCGCGGCUUCUUCUCCUUCUUUCUUCUGAGGACAAAGCAGAGAAUAAUAGCAAUGCUAACAGCACCAACACCUCCGAGAACAGGGGCCAAUAUGAUAGCCAGUUUCCUUUUUGGCGUUGCUGGUGGCCACACAACAUAAAUAGUGCCAGUACUGAUGUUCAUCUUCAUGAUCUCCAGGCCGUUCAAGAUGCCAUCUGGUGCCACAUUGCUCAAGCUGGAAGGCCCAAUGCCGACACUUAGCUUACCAGAAGGAUUGCUUGACUUCAAGACAAAUUCCGUGUAGUAUGGCACAGCCAAGGUACCAAAAACUUUUUCAGAGAGGUCAAGAUUUUCUAACGCUAACCCGCCAUCCACAUAAAUAUCAAAGUAGAGGGAAUAUGCUGCCUUGCUCACUAUGUCACAAAAAUGGAACCGGAUCAGAUAGCUCGAACGACCGUCAACAUCAAAUUGCCAUGUCAUGUUGGACGCUGGGCUGGUUCUAUUUUGCACAGCCAACCGCCUUGCAGUGUUGUACACACUGUCCGGUGCAUCCUCCUUGGUUGCAGCUCCUUUCUGAUAAUUCAGCUUCCCUUGGUAAGCAAACAGUUCAGUGGUAGUGGAAUUUAUGAAGAAGUUCUGGUCAGUAUCCCAUGAACGCGAGAGUGUGUCAUUGACAACGGUCACCUCCCGUCCACCUACAUUAAUCCUGUAGAAUGUCUGAAAUGACUGCGUUGCAAGGCCAAGAUACUGGCCGGAGGGAUUCACAGUUUGGGCUGAAUCCUGUAUCAGAUCAUCAGGAACAGAUAUUACUUCAAUAGCAUUGAUAAAAGAUGUGCUGUUUCCAAGAGGCACAAAUGAGAGAAUCAGCAUAUCCUCGGUAAUAUUCAGCGAAUACUCCCUGACCAACAGUGAGGAAUUGCUCGGCGGAGUGAAAUUGUCAAGUAACACAACAUGCUGGGUGGACACUUUGAACUUUGCCGCGGCAAGAUCAUAGCUCUGGUAUCUGAAACCGAAGAAGUGUAGCCGGACAAAAUGCCGGCCACGGCUCUUCAUGUUGAAGGAGUAGGACGACGGCACAAUGAAUAUCCUUGCAGUUUUAUACAGCACAGGAUUGUCAGAACUUAUGACUGCAUCCGGCAAGGUGUUUGCGGGGACGCUGUGAUGUGAUGUCAAUAUAGUCGAGCCGGAAUUGUCUGCUUUGAAGACCCUCCCAUCGUUGAGAUUAGCGUCGACCGUAGAGCCGCAGUUGAUGAGGUAGUUGUCUGCAGGGGUGAAUUCAGCAGCAUUGCAGGUACCAAGAAGAACCCAGAUGGUCCCAAGAAGGAGCAGAGCUAUCUUCUGCUCGGUAGUGGUGCCCAUGAUGAAUCCAAACAGAAACUGGGGCUACAGGACACAAGAGCCCUGAAUUGCACAAAGAUGCAGCCAGCCAGCAAGGAAAAAGGGGGAGCUAGAACAGCUGAAGAGAGUACAGAUGAUGAAUCUGUUCCAGAGUCCAAGGCAUGCAAUCCCUCAAAACUGAUGUCAUCUCAGGCAGCAAGAGCACUCGGAAAUUGAAGCAAUAGAAAGUGUGAACAGGCUUAGAUUUUCCGUGUCUUGGUCGGCAGGAGGAGGAACCACCAGAAACCUUGCUUAUCAGGCAAGCAAGAACCUUAUCAAGAACACCCGCAUCAUCGCUCCAUCCACCGCGAACUGGAUCUGCACAAUAGUCCCACAAAACAAAAUCAGUAUCGUCACCAACAUGCAGGAGCCCGGAAAAACAGAAUAAAAUCCUUCGACUGAAAUCAACCCAAUCCCCCAGCUGAGACGAGGGGCGGUUACCUUUGCGGCGCAGGCCUUCCAGCGGCUGAAUCGCCUCUUGCCGCCGCCCAAACAAGCAGCCUCGCCCCCGCAAGAACUUCAGACAGGCGGUUGGGGAAGCGGAGGAUCCAGAGCCAGAACCAGAACCAGUCUUUUCUUGAAGCCAGCCAAGAAGAGGGACGGGCUGGUGGAGCACAGGUGGAACGGAACUGGCGGAGAAGCGGACAACGGCACGCCGCCGCUUUAACUUUUGGGCGAAGCGGACAAAGGAAUGGCAAUCCAAAUGCUCGUCUGGAUGGGGAUUUUGGAAGGAGCGAUGGUGAUGGCGAUGGUGGCCCGGAGGUUGGCGAGAUUUUGAGCAGAGUCUUCUUGGGUCCGGGAGGAAGAAAGGGUC
rnacentral:lncRNA from 1 species